rnacentral:rRNA from 1 species
UACGUAGGGUCCAAGCGUUGUUCGGAUUUACUGGGCGUAAAGGGCGCGUAGGCGGCUUGACAAGUCACUUGUGAAAUCCCCGGGCUUAACUCGGAACGGCCAAGUGAAACUGUCAUGCUAGAGUGCAGAAGGGGCAAUCGGAAUUCUUGGUGUAGCGGUGAAAUGCGUAGAUAUCAAGAGGAACACCUGAGGUGAAGACGGGUUGCUGGGCUGACACUGACGCUGAGGCGCGAAAGCCAGGGGAGCAAACGGG